rnacentral:pre_miRNA from 8 species
UGAGGUAGUAGUUUGUGCUGUUGGUCGGGUUGUGACAUUGCCCGCUGUGGAGAUAACUGCGCAAGCUACUGCCUUGCU